AACAUGUCUUAAUGAAUAUAAUUUUAAGUCUAAUCUGCUCCAUGAUUUUAUAUUAAAUAGCUGCAGAAUUUUAACUGUACAAAGGUAGCAUAAUCAAUAGUUUUUUAAUUGAAAGCUGGAAUGAAUGAUUUGAUAAGGUAAUUUUUGUCUCAAUUUUAAUAGAAAUAAAAAUUUUUUUUUAGUUAAAAAACUAAAGUAAAUUUAAAAGACGAGAAGACCCUAUAGAUUUUUAUAAUUAUGUAUAAAAUAUAUAAAAAUUAUAUAAUAAAUUUUUAUAUAUAAUUAUUAGGUUGGGGAAAUUAUUAAAUUAAAUUAAUUUUAAUAAAAAUAUAAACUAUAAUUAUAGAUUAAUUGAUCUUAUUAUUUAAAAUAAAAGAAUAAAUUACCUUAGGGAUAACAGCGUAAUUUUUUUGGAGAGAUCAUAUUGAUAAAAAAGUUUGCGACCUCGAUGUUGAAUUAAGAAAAAAUAUUAAUGAAGAAGUUAAUAAUUUUUGGUCUGUUCGACCAUUAAAAUCUUACGUGAU
rnacentral:rRNA from 1 species